CCAGCUUGUCGGCGCCAUUUUGUCUCGGCAGCGGUGGCCGUAGCUCCAUCGCAUUUUAUGUUUCUGGCGAGAAGGGAACGGAGUUUUCAUCAGGUAGAUUGGUUUUUGUGCGGCCGUCCUCCACCGUUUCCUCCAGGACAGCACCUAGUCGUGGCCGGAGGAGUCUCAGAGCUGUCAGAAAGAAUAAGACUGAUUUUAUGGGAAAAUUAAGCAGAUGCUCCAGUUUGAGAAACCUGGAUCUGCGAUCUGUUUGUGGCACAGCACUUUGGGAGGCUGAGGCGGGCGUGAGAUUGGGAGUUUGAGACCAGCCUGACCAACAUGGAGAAACCGCAUCUCUACUAAAAAUACAAAAUUAGCCUGGCGUGGUGGCGCAUGCCUGUAAUCCCAGCUACUCUGGAGGCUGAGGCAGGAGAACCGCUUGAAUCCGGGAGGCGAAGGUCACGAGUGGUAUUCAGUUAAGAGAACAAUUAUUUCGUAUAAGCCACAUCAGAGACGACUGAAGAUGAAAAAACUACCAUCCCCGUAUAUAACUAAUUUGUGCUGUGCACCAACAAGAACCUGCUUUAAAUUUCCAUGGCAAUUUACAACCCCCAUACUGUACCAGGCAAGGUCUCUAUGAAUAAAGAAAAGCAAAUAGAAUCUUAUCAGGUACCAGCAUCAAGAUGAUUUAUGGUAAUAAGAUAUAAAACCAAGGAAAAUAACCUAAAGUCUGAAAAAGACCAGAAUCGAAGUUUCCUGAUUCAUAUUUUAAUGUUUUGAAAUUUAUACUCCAGGCUGGGUGCAGUGGCUUGUGCCUGUAAUCCCAGCACUUUGGGAGGCCGAGGCGGCCGGAUUGCCUGAAGUCAGAAGUUCGAGACCAGCCUGACCAACAUGGUGAAACCCUGUCUCUACUUAAAAAUACAAAAGAGCUGGGCAUGGAGGUGGUGCGCGCCUGUAACCCUAGCUACUCGGGAGGCUGAGGCCUAAGAAUCUCUUGAACCCAGGAGGCAGAGGUUGUAGUGAGCCGGGAUCACGCCACUGCACUCUAGCCUGGGCGACAGAGAGAGAGACUGUCUAAAAAAGGAAAAGAAAAAAAUUUAUACGCCAAAAAAGAUAUUCUGAGAUAACCUGUAGUUACCACUAACUUUGUGACAAAAUUAUAAAAAUCCACAGCCAUCUAUGAAUCUGUAGGCAGACCUGAAGUUUGAACGACUGGUGAAGACAUCUGAUUUUCUUUAUAGCCAAGUUAGGAUAACAAAAUGCAAACAAGUCAUUAAUAUUUACUAUAUGCAAGAUACAGAAAGAUGAAGGAAGGAGUAAGAAGUUAUCCUUCGUGGAACUAUUCAAAGCAAAAAUGCAAAAUACCAGGGAAAGCUUUGAAGAACCAAGAUUUGAGCAGGUUCUUAGAAUAUAGAUUGGAUUGGAUUUGAUUUCAAGAAAGAUGAACGUGUAAAGCAGAAGUGGGAAGCCAAAAACUUUUUUCCAAAUUAGAAUUAAGCAUUCUUUCAAUGAACAUUUGGAAAUCAAGGUAGAAAAAUAUCCCUAGGGCCUAGCUGAGGAGUCUGUAUGUUGUUGGGUUUUGAUAGUAACCAGUCCAAGAUUUUGUUAUUAGACGUGGGUUUCUGAAUAGACAGGCAUUUCUGAACAGACAUGACAGGAUCAAAACAAUGUUUGAGCAAACUGCCCUUCAUCUACUGUGGAUAUGUUGGGGGAUGAUGGAAUAUAGUGAAAGAUAAUGGGUGCUCAUACAGCAGUCUAGACUUAAGGUGAUUCAACUACUAUAUAUUAAACUAGAUUAUCUUUUAUUUUUUAAUUUUGAAAUCUGGAUGCUCAAGCUCUGCCUGCACAACCACAUGAGGAAGAAGGAACAAUGACAACAAAAAUAACACUAAAUUUAAAUUUAAGAGUACUACUUUUAGGAAAUAGACAAACCAUUAUUUGGGUACAACUAAAGGCAACUGGCAUGGACUCAAAUAUUUUGGGGAAGAAAAAGACUAAAAGUUCUAAGGAAGAAAAUGCGAACCUUGAUAGUUUGAAAUAGUUAAAAAGACAGUGUAGAAACUGCUUAGGCAGUUUGAUUAUGGACUAUUAGAUGAUACUUGGGUCUGAUAAUGGUAUAAGGAGAAUAAAGUAUUUAGGGAUCCAAUAUUACGCCUGCAGCUUUUUCCAAAUAGUUCAUGGGGGAGGGGGAUGUGUAAGUGGUUAACUGAAGUCUAACUAGAUAGGUUUGUUGUAAGCUUAGGAUGUUUACAGUUCUUCAUGUUAAGUUGAGCGUGAUGGGAAGGGAAAGAAUGCUGAUCUUUAAAUUUUUGUCCUUAGUUAAGUUCUGUAUUUAGUGAAUUAAUUGCAUCCUAAAAAGUCAAACUUGAAAAGCACAUUUUAAAUGGCAAAUCUAUUUUUUACAUGUUUGUGAAGUUUUUAUUUUUUAGUAAACAGACCAUCAGAAGAGAACAAUGGUACAGAGCAGGGGUCAGCAGAUGGAUUUUGUAAAGCAUCAACUUGUAAAUAUUUUCAAGUUUAUUAGCUGUAUGGCUCUGGUUUCUGUUCCCUGUUCCAAAUGUUAAAGUCUACUGUUGUAUUCUAAAAGCAGCCAUGGACUGAAUGUAGCUGUGUUCCAAUAAAACUUACACAAAAGCAGGCAGUGGGCCAUAAUUUGCAACACCUGAUUCACAGCAUAAUUUUGUCACAAACUGAAAGUGUUCCUCAAUUAAAGUGAUUUUUUUUUCUUG
rnacentral:lncRNA from 1 species